GCCUAGAUAGUUUAUUAAAAUAAAACAUAGCUCUGAAGAAGCUAAAAUGGCCAUUUGACCUCAAGGCA
rnacentral:tRNA from 1 species